GACGAACCGUGCGAACGUUAUUCGGAAUCACUGGGCUUAAAGCGCGUGUAGGCGGGCCGGCACGUCGGGCGCUGAAAUCCCCCGGCUCAACCGGGGAAGGGGCGCCGAUACGGCCGGCCUGGAGGGACGUAGGGGGGGCUGGAACUUCCGGUGGAGCGGUGAAAUGCGUUGAGAUCGGAAGGAACGCCCGUGGCGAAAGCGAGCCCCUGGACGUCUACUGACGCUGAGACGCGAAAGCCAGGGGAGCGAACGGG
rnacentral:rRNA from 1 species